UACAGGGGGGGCAAGCGUUGUUCGGAAUUACUGGGCGUAAAGCGCACGUAGGCGGAUUUGUAAGUCAGGGGUGAAAUCCCGGGGCUCAACCUCGGAACUGCCUUUGAUACUGCAAAUCUCGAGUCCGGAAGAGGUGAGUGGAAUUCCUAGUGUAGCGGUGAAAUGCGCAGAUAUCAGGAAGAACACCCGUGGCGAAGGCGGCUCUCUGGGACGGUACUGACGCUGAGACGCGAAAGCGUGGGGAGCGAACAGG
rnacentral:rRNA from 1 species